rnacentral:rRNA from 1 species
GAUCCUGGCUCAGGAUGAACGCUGGCGGCGUGUCUAACACAUGCAAGUCGAGCGAUUCUCUUCGGAGAAGAGCGGCGGACGGGUGAGUAACGCGUGGGUAACCUGCCCUAUACACACGGAUAACAUACCGAAAGGUAUGCUAAUACGAGAUAACAUAAGAGAUUCGCAUGGAUUUCUUAUCAAAGCUUUUGCGGUAUAGGAUGGACCCGCGUCUGAUUAGCUAGUUGGUGAGGUAACAG